UACAGGGGGGGCAAGCGUUGUUCGGAAUUACUGGGCGUAAAGGGCUCGUAGGUGGCCAACUAAGUCAGACGUGAAAUCCCUCAGCUUAACUGGGGAACUGCGUCUGAUACUGGAUGGCUUGAGUUUGGGAGAGGGAUGCGGAAUUCCAGGUGUAGCGGUGAAAUGCGUAGAUAUCUGGAGGAACACCCGUGGCGAAGGCGGCUUCCUGGGCCACAUCUGACGCUGAGACGCGAAAGCGUGGGGAGCGAACGGG
rnacentral:rRNA from 1 species